GAUGAACGCUGGCGGCGUGCCUAAUACAUGCAAGUCGAGCGAACGGACGAGAAGCUUGCUUCUCUGAUGUUAGCGGCGGACGGGUGAGUAACACGUGGAUAACCUACCUAUAAGACUGGGAUAACUUCGGGAAACCGGAGCUAAUACCGGAUAAUAUUUUGAACCGCAUGGUUCAAAAGUGAAAGACGGUCUUGCUGUCACUUAUAGAUGGAUCCGCGCUGCAUUAGCUAGUUGGUAAGGUAACGGCUUACCAAGGCAACGAUGCAUAGCCGACCUGAGAGGGUGAUCGGCCACACUGGAACUGAGACACGGUCCAGACCCCUACGGGAGGCAGCAGUAAGGAAUCUUCCGCAAUGGGCGAAAGCCUGACGGAGCAACGCCGCGUGAGUGAUGAAGGUCUUCGGAUCGUAAAACUCUGUUAUUAGGGAAGAACAUAUGUGUAAGUAACUGUGCACAUCUUGACGGUACCUAAUCAGAAAGCCACGGCUAACUACGUG
rnacentral:rRNA from 1 species